rnacentral:rRNA from 1 species
CCUACGGGUGACAGCAGUGGGGAAUAUUGCACAAUGGGGGAAACCCUGAUGCAGCGACGCCGCGUGAGUGAAGAAGUAUUUCGGUACGUAAAGCUCUAUCAGCAGGGAAGAAAAUGACGGUACCUGACUAAGAAGCCCCGGCUAACUACGUGCCAGCAGCCGCGGUAAUACGUAGGGGGCAAGCGUUAUCCGGAUUUAAUGGGUGUAAAGGGAGCGUAGACGGCAGCGCAAGUCUGGAGUGAAAUCCCAUGGCUUAACCAUGGAACUGCUUUGGAAACUGUGCAGCGAGAGUGCAGGAGAGGUAAGCGGAAUUCCUAGUGUAGCGGUGAAAUGCGUAGAUAUUAGGAGGAACACCAGUGGCGAAGGCGGCUUACUGGACUGUAACUGACGUUGAGGCUCGAAAGCGUGGGGAGCAAACAGGAUUAGAUACCCCAGUAGUC